GCCAAGUUCAUUAUAGAUAGAGAUAAUUUUAAGCAGCAAGAAUGUUUAGUAAAGUAAGAUGUGCAAACACAUCACCAUCAGCAAAACACAAUUUUGUCAUGAAUCCAUCUGCUUCCUUUAAUAUUCACAUAGACCAAGGUGAGCGACACAGGCUCUUUAGAGCCUCUAGUUAGAACUUUUUUUUACAAUUACCGGUACAACAAUCUUCAUUUUUGCUUCUUCAGAUUUCAUGGCAUUAAUAAUCAAUUGUAAAACAUGUGUAAGAAUGACGUACACACUUUUCUAAUAAUACCAUACUUAAUAUCUCUUACAUUUAUAUUUUCUUUAUAACAAGGUUGUGAGGCUUGAAAUUGGGCUAAAUAACAUAACAGUUUAAAGUGUUUCUAGUUGUUUAUUUGUACAAAAAAUAAUAUAAAAGGAUAAGGUUUGAUAAAAUACAUUCAAUUUUGUCCAGGCAAGGUUAAGAACAGUCAAAUUCUAUCAUCCCUUUAAAAUUAUAGUAAUGCUAUGAUCAAUUUAAUGCAGAAAAGUUUUCUGUGAUACGUAAAUGAAAACCUUGAUAUUAUUUCAUGUUUAUGCAAAAACAACUAAAUCCGUCGGUCUUAUUUCUGGAAGGCCAUGUACUGUAAAUUCAGAAAUUAUUGCGAUGUUUUAAUUAAUUCGAAAAAUGCUACAGGGUUACUAUUGCAAUAACUAAAACUCGCAGUUUGAAAUUCUUUAUAUGAAUUAAACAGGAUAUUUCUGAGUGUCCUCAAUAUCAAAAAUUGAAAUCGCAUUGUAUUCUAAAAAUCACAAUAAUAAAUGCACGCAAUGAUUUUUAAAUUUACAGUAUACAAAUUUAUAGAAUGCCUUUAAUGAAUAGAAAGCAGAAACCUCCCAUCAUCAAGCAUUUCUGUUCAUAUGCUUGCUUGGUGAAUAUGAUUGGCAACGAGGGAAAAUACUUUAAUAAAUAAUAAAUACCAGGUUCUUAGUUAGUGUAAAUCUCUCUUCUUGGAUGAAUAUCUGUUUAUAAUGUUAAUUAAAAUCAUGACGAAAAUUUUUAAUGUAGUUACUUUAGGAGAAAUAGUAUCAUAUUUGCCAGUUGAAAGAACAUUUUUAAAAAUGUUGAAGAUUUAUAUACUGAAAGCCUACAAUUGACAAAUACUUGUGUUUUAAUACAUGUAAGCAUAUAUUUUUUUAUACUUGCACUGCAAUCAUGAAUUUGAUUUGUUUAAAUUCCUUAGAAAGUUUUUAUUUAAUCCAAAGGUUGCACAAAAUUUGAAAGUAUUCAUUCGUAAAACUAUACAAACUCUGAUUAGGCUAGUUAAAAAAAACCUUUCAAUUUAGGAGUUAUAGCCAAAAAGGUAAUGGAAAGCUUCAUGGUGUCAUUGGAGUUGCAAAUGAAAAGCAUUCUUACAGUUAUUUGAUAUUUUAAAAUAUAUAAGUUUUCCCAACUUAAUGUGAAAUUAUCUUAUAGAGUAAUCCCCCCUUUCCCACACACUCGCUCUCACAUGUACACAUAUUUUGUGUCAUAUUGCAUCUAUUUUGAAACUAUGCAGUAUUGAUUAUUCUUCCUAAUUGAAUUGUGUUGUAGGUUUUAUAUGUGUAGGUAUGUUUUGUAAUAGUACAUGUCUAAUUCUAUCUACGUUUUAUGUAGUUGGAACAGCUCUGUGCUCUACUAGAUUGUACUGGUACAUACCAUUAAAAAAUUCGAUGACAAAAGAAGAAAAAACAACUUUUUGUGUGCAUUCUGAUAUUAUUUAUUUGUACCCUCACUUAGGAGUGGGGGCUAUAUUGCAUUCUCCUUGAGGAUCAGUCAUCUGUUUGUUAAACGAAUAUUUCCAUCAUCCAUUUCUAAGGGACUGACAGAUUGACCUAUGGUCAGCCACUUGAGAGUGAUAAAUGGUAACACAUAGGCACUUUUCAGAUCUGAUGGACACCUCCUUCCUGUUUACUGGUGCUUUGAAUGUUUCAAUAUGUUGAAAGGAAUUAGUCACCCAUUUCUCCAGGACUAUUGAAUAGCAGACUUCAUAUUUGGUCAGCAGCUAAGCAGUAAAAAGUUGUAAUGUGCGAGUACUUUUGGACACCUACAGUAACUCCUAUUUUCAGAUACUGAAUUUUUCAGUAGGUUAUGUUUAGCACUACAAAAUGUGCUGUUAUAAUAUUUGAAUAUUAACUUAAAACUAACUUAAUCAGUUAUCAUUAUCAUGAAGCUACUGAAAAUGAUAUCUGGUCUCAAUUACCAUGUUAAGUUUUAGAAAAUUGACUUAAAAUACAAGAAACAAAACAGAAUAAUUUGAAAAGAACAACCCAGAAACAAUAAGGGAUUACAAUAACAAGAACUCCAACAAAACUGAUAUUUACAAUUAUUUAGGAAUAUAAAGAUUUCAAAACAGCUAUUGUAUUAUUCUUGGUUGGGUAACUUAGGUUGCUGUUGUUUUUUUCUUCACACAAAUGCAUAUUAUCCUUGAAUUUUCAUUCUUCAUGUACUUUACUAGUUGGGUCUAUUCAGAAAAGGGGGCCUCUCCAAUCUCCAACCAAUUACCACAGAGUUUUAUUCUGUACUAAUUCAGGAAUUGAGUAUUAAUAAAUGAACGUUUUUUUUAAAUCUUAGUUUUUGAAAGACACUUUCUUUAUGCAAUAUUAAUUAAAUAAGAACAUUAGAUAACAACAUUUGUCAACAAUUCCACCAAUGUUUGAUUGCUUAUAUACUCCUGAAUAAAUGAAAUAGCUAAAAUUUGCUUAGCUGCUUCAAACUUUAGGAUGUUCUUUCAACAGGCGAGAUAUGUUCAAUUAAUAAGUCCUGUCACCUGAAUGAUACCAUGAAAUAUGUUUACAAAUAAUACUAUUUUACAACAA
rnacentral:lncRNA from 1 species